rnacentral:rRNA from 1 species
UACAGAGGGCUCAAGCGUUGUUCGGAUUCAUUGGGCGUAAAGGGCGCGUAGGCGGCGGGGUCAGUCGGGUGUGAAAUCUUGGGGCUUAACCCCGAAACGGCACUCGAAACUGCCCGGCUGGAGGGCCGGAGAGGAGAUCGGAAUUCACGGUGUAGCAGUGAAAUGCGUAGAGAUCGUGAGGAAGACCCGUGGCGAAGGCGGAUCUCUGGACGGCUAAAACUGACGCUGAGGCGCGAAGGCCAGGGGAGCAAACGGG